rnacentral:misc_RNA from 1 species
GUGGGAGGGGGCUUGCUCCCGAUAGCUGUGGAUCAGUCAGUACAAGGUGUCUGACAGACCGCUAUCGGGAGCGAGCCCCCUCCCAC